rnacentral:rRNA from 1 species
AUUGAACGCUGGCGGCAGGCCUAACACAUGCAAGUCGAACGAGUGGCGGACGGGUGAGUAAUGUCUGGGAAACUGCCUGAUGGAGGGGGAUAACUACUGGAAACGGUAGCUAAUACCGCAUACCAUCGGAUGUGCCCCGAUGGGAUUAGCUAGUAGUUGGGGCAAAGGCUCACCUAGGUGACGAUCCCUAGCUGGUCUGAGAGGAUGAGCAGCCACACUGGAACUUAGAGACGGUCCAUAUUCCUACGGUAGGCAGCAGUGGGGAAUAUUGGACAAUUGGCGCAAGCCUAAUGCAGCCAUGCCGCUUGUAUGAAGAAGGCCGUCGGGUUUUAAAGUACUUUCAGCGGGGAGGCGUUACCCGCAGAAGAAGCACCGGCUAACUCCGUGCCAGCCGCCGCGGUAAUAC